rnacentral:rRNA from 1 species
GACGAACGCUGGCGGCGUGCCUAAUACAUGCAAGUCGAGCGGAGUUGAUGAGGUGCUUGCGCCUCUGAUGCUUAGCGGCGGACGGGUGAGUAACACGUAGGCAACCUGCCUGUAAGACUGGGAUAACAUUCGGAAACGAAUGCUAAUACCAGAUACGCGAUUUCCUCGCAUGGGGAGAUUGGGAAAGACGGAGCAAUCUGUCACUUACAGAUGGGCCUGCGGCGCAUUAGCUAGUUGGUGGGGUAACGGCCUACCAAGGCGACGAUGCGUAGCCGACCUGAGAGGGUGAUCGGCCACACUGGGACUGAGACACGGCCCAGACUCCUACGGGAGGCAGCAGUAGGGAAUCUUCCGCAAUGGACGAAAGUCUGACGGAGCAACGCCGCGUGAGUGAUGAAGGCUUUCGGGUCGUAAAGCUCUGUUGCCAGGGAAGAACACUUGAGAGAGUAACUGCUCUUAAGGUGACGGUACCUGAGAAGAAAGCCCCGGCUAACUACGUGCCAGCCGCCGCCGUAA